rnacentral:rRNA from 1 species
CUGAACUUAAGCAUAUCAAUAAGCGGAGGAAAAGAAACCAACAGGGAUUGCCCCAGUAACGGCGAGUGAAGCGGCAACAGCUCAAAUUUGAAAUCUGCCCCAGGGCCCGAGUUGUAAUUUGCAGAGGAUGCUUUUGGCGAGGUGCCUUCCGAGUUCCCUGGAACGGGACGCCAUAGAGGGUGAGAGCCCCGUCUGGUUGGAUACCGAGCCUCUGUAAAGCUCCUUCGACGAGUCGAGUAGUUUGGGAAUGCUGCUCUAAAUGGGAGGUAUAUGUCUUCUAAAGCUAAAUACCGGCCAGAGACCGAUAGCGCACAAGUAGAGUGAUCGAAAGAUCAAAAGCACUUUGAAAAGAGGGUUAAACAGUACGUGAAAUUGUUGAAAGGGAAGCGCUUGUGACCAGACUUGGGGCCCGGUGAAUCAUCAGCGUUCUCGCUGGUGCACUUUGCCGGCCCAGGCCAGCAUCAGUUUGCCUCGGGGGAUAAAGGCUCUGGGAAUGUGGCUCCUCCGGGAGUGUUAUAGCCCGUUGCUCAAUGCCCUGGGGCGGACUGAGGUUCGCGCAUCUGCAAGGAUGCUGGCGUAAUGGUCAUCAGCGGCCCGUCUUGAAACACGGACCAAGGAGUCGUCUUCGUAUGCGAGUGUUCGGGUGUGGGGCCCCUACGCGGCCCUGAAAAGUGAAACGCUGGUGAGAGCUUCGGCGCAUCAUCGACCGAUCCUGAUGUUCUCGGAUGGAUUUGAGGUAAGAGCAUACGGGGCCGGACCCGAAAGAAGGUGAACUAUGCCUGUAUAGGGUGAAGCCAGAGGAAACUCUGGUGGAGGCUCGCAGCGGUUCUGACGUGCAAAUCGAUCGUCAAAUAUGGGCAUGGGGGCGAAAGACUAAUCGAACCUUCUAGUAGCUGGUUUCCGCCGAAGUUUCCCUCAGAUAGCAGUGUUGAUCUCAGUUUUAUGAGGUAAAGCGAAUGAUUAGGGACCAGGGGCGCUAUUAAAGCCUUCAUCCAUUCUCAAACUUUAAAUAUGUAAGAAGCUCUUGUUACUUAAUUGAACGUGGGCAUUCGAAUGUAUCAACACUAGUGGGCCAUUUUUGGUAAGCAGAACUGGCGAUGCGGGAUGAACCGAACGCGAGGUUAAGGUGCCAGGUAGACGCUCAUCAGACACCACAAAAGGUGUUAGUACAUCUUGACAGCAGGACGGUGGCCAUGGAAGUCGGAAUCCGCUAAGGACUGUGUAACAACUCACCUGCCGAAUGUACUAGCCCUGAAAAUGGAUGGGCCUCAAGCGUCUCACCCAUACCUCGCCCUCAGGGUAGAAACGAAGCCCUGAGGAGUAGGCGGACGUGGAGGUC